CUGCCAAGAGGUAGACGCAGUGAACUGAAACAUCUUAGUAGCUGCAGGAAGAGAAAGAAAAUUCGAUUCCCUGAGUAGCGGCGAGCGAAACGGGAAGAGCCCAAACCACUGAGCUUGCUCAGUGGGGUUGUAGGACUGAACUUUGGAGUUACCAAAGAAUCAGGUAGUCGAAGUGGCUGGGAAGCCACACCAGAGAUGGUGAUAGUCCAGUAGACGAAACCUGGUUCUCUCCGUUCAGGAUCCUGAGUACGGCGGGACACGUGAAACCCCGUCGGAAUCCGCGAGGACCAUCUCGCAAGGCUAAAUACUCCCUAGUGACCGAUAGUGAACCAGUACCGUGAGGGAAAGGUGAAAAGCACCCCGGGAGGGGAGUGAAAUAGUUCCUGAAACCAUGUGCCUACAAGCUGUCGGAGCCCGUUAAUGGGUGACGGCGUGCCUCUUGCAGAAUGAACCGGCGAGUCAUGAUUACGUGCAAGGUUAAGGUGGAAAAACCGGAGCCGCAGCGAAAGCGAGUCUGAAAUGGGCGUAUGAAGUACGUAGUUAUGUACCCGAAACCAGGUGACCUACCCAUGUCCAGGGUGAAGGUGCGGUAAAACGCACUGGAGGCCCGAACCCGUGUCUGUUGAAAAAGGCUGGGAUGAGGUGUGGGUAGCGGUGAAAUUCCAAACGAACUUGGAGAUAGCUGGUUCUCUCCGAAAUCUCUUUAGGGGGAGCCUCGGAAUCGAGAAUCUUGGAGGUAGAGCACU
rnacentral:rRNA from 1 species